rnacentral:rRNA from 1 species
GAUGAACGCUGGCGGCGUGCCUAAUACAUGCCAGUCGAGCGAACAGACGAGGAGCUUGCUCCUCUGACGUUAGCGGCGGACGGGUGAGUAACACGUGGAUAACCUACCUAUAAGACCGGGAUAACUUCGGGAAACCGGAGCUAAUACCGGAUAAUAUAUUGAACCGCAUGGUUCAAUAGUGAAAGACGGUUUUGCUGUCACUUAUAGAUGGAUCCGCGCCGCAUUAGCUAGUUGGUAAGGUAACGGCUUACCAAGGCAACGAUGCGUAGCCGACCUGAGAGGGUGAUCGGCCACACUGGAACUGAGACACGGUCCAGACUCCUACGGGAGGCAGCAGUAGGGAAUCUUCCGCAAUGGGCGAAAGCCUGACGGAGCAACGCCGCGUGAGUGAUGAAGGUCUUCGGAUCGUAAAACUCUGUUAUUAGGGAAGAACAAAUGUGUAAGUAACUAUGCACGUCUUGACGGUACCUAAUCAGAAAGCCACGGCUAACUACGUG